GUAGGUGGCAAGCGUUGUCCGGAAUUAUUGGGCGUAAAGCGCGCGCAGGCGGUUCUUUAAGUCUGAUGUGAAAGCCCACGGCUCAACCGUGGAGGGUCAUUGGAAACUGGAGAACUUGAGUACAGAAGAGGAAAGCGGAAUUCCACGUGUAGCGGUGAAAUGCGUAGAGAUGUGGAGGAACACCAGUGGCGAAGGCGGCUUUCUGGUCUGUAACUGACGCUGAGGCGCGAAAGCGUGGGGAGCAAACAGGGAUUAGAUACCCUGGUAGUCCACGCCGUAAACGAUGAGUGCUAAGUGUUAGGGGGGGUUUCCGCCCCCCUUAGUGCUGCAGCUAACGCAUUAAGCACUCCGCCUGGGGGGUUACGGCCGCAAGGCUG
rnacentral:rRNA from 1 species